AAUCGUGAGAUCAUGACAUGAGCCAAAAUCAAGAGUCAGAUACCUAACCGACUGAGCCACCUGGGGGCCCCUAACCCUGCAGUCUAAUCUAAUCAAUGGCACAUCUUAAUUUUGGUCACUGGGAAAGACGAGGCUCUGACGAGUCCUGUGGCUUCUCGUACUCCCAGGUGGACACAGGGCAGCCCCUCAAAGUCCCAGCAAGGAGGGAGGCGCCAGGGUGAGGAGUGAGCUGAGGAGACUCAGACACAUUCUGAUACAUCAGCUACCUUCACGCCAUUUUUUUCUUGACCUGCAUCCCACAGACUUCAUUUUUGCCAAAAAUUUCAGUCUCUCUCUUGUUAAAUUCCUCAGCCUCGUCUGCCUUCAUGGUGCUUUCAUUGAAUCGCUCCCAUGUGCCCACCUGAGGCCCUACAAUCUGUCCAGGCCUCUCUGCCCACUCCUGCCUUGAAGGAUGGUGAUGACCAUCCCUAUUUUUGUUUAUUUACUGGCUACAUAUGUGCCAGGCAGCGUUCUGAUCACUUGGCAUGUGUUAGCUCAUUUCAUCCUCCCCACAAAUGCGUGGGAGUGCCCAUUUCACAGAUGAGGAAACUGAGCACCAGCAAGGUUAAGGCUAACCCACGUCUAAAGCUAGCACUAUACCACCUGGCACUUAAAUACUCAUCUACUUAUAUUAACCUCCAAGUAGACUAUCUCUCUCGUCUUCUCAACUAGAGUGAAUCUCUUAAUGACUCACACCAUGCUUCUAUUUCUUCCCUAUGCCCAGUGGCACCAAGCAUGAAGCAGGUAAGUACUUGCUCAAGAACCUUCAAUGGCUCCCUAUUGCCUACGGGGAGAGGGGAAGAUCUUACUUUUCCCUAGGAAUUACAGAGCAGUGAACCUUGGGCUUCAGUGUGGACUGAGUUCCGGAAGAGAGGCCUGUCUCCUCCAUCACAGCAGCCCAGAGCCCAGAGCCCAGGUGCAGGCUGGAACACACAGUGGCAGAGGAAAUGCUUGCAGGAUGGACAUCAGCGUGCACGUGCGUUCUCACCCCCGUUACUAAGUGAGCUUGAGGAAAUCCGAUAACCUCCUUAAGCCUCAGAUUUUGUUCUCAGUUUUAUCUAUCAAUUUGAAAUACAAAUCCUUUAUUGCCUGAUAGGAUUCGUGGAAGGUAAGACCAAAUGAGAUAAUGGGUGUAAAAACCCUUUUGGAAGUUAUCAAACCCAUCCAAAGACACAAGUUGUUACCCGGAUCAUCCUGGGCUUACAAAGUUCUUCCCCCAGGAGCCAAUCUCACUUCUCAGUUUCCUUGCGCACUCAAUCAGGCUUGACCACCAUGCCAAAGUGUUUGUUGGCUCUGGUGGCUGGCAAGCGUGUUCUGCAAAAGACCAGGUACUAAAAACUUCAGGCUUUGCCGGCCGUACAGUCUUUGUUGCAGCUACUUAACUCUGCCACUGUAGCACAAAGCAGCCACAGGACGAGCAUGGCUGUGUUUCAAUAAAACUUUAUUUGUGGCAUCUGGCGCAUGAGCAGUAGUGCUCACCUCUGCUCUACACCACUGGGCGGUCUCUCCUGCUUAGAAUACACAGCUUCCAUGUCCCCUAGUGCCCUCGCCCACAGCGGUGUCCUCCUUCCCUGCUCUCCUAACAGAGAUCUCUGACAUUUUAAUUCCCAGAGGAAGGUGUAUACAGGUUUGUACUGGACGCUGCCUUUCUUCUAAAUGAUACUCCUGCCGAGAGCCGUGUACUUCCUGUGUUUCCCCAUGUACUUCCCGUGUUUCCGCACACCCCCAGUCCUCACUCUCACUUAAUAGACAUGUUGCACAAGUAGGCGAAGGCUUCAUCGCCUCCCCGGAGUUGUGCUUACACUCUCCCCGUCUCCCAGGAGGCGGCAAGCUGGCUGAGGAAGGGAUGCCCGUGGGCAGCAGGGCUCACUCACCGGCUCAGGGACUGACUCCCAAACCCCAGCACCGUGGCCCCAACGCCUCAGAUUCCUGUCGUCGCCAAGCUGCAAAUUACCACAUGCCACGGGCCUCUGCAGCCGCUGGCUGGCAAAUCCGCCACUGCAAGGACCACGGAGGUGCCUUCGCAGCCCGAGUGGCUGCACGUGGAUCUAAUUACAUGCUGCCUUUAUUGUUUAAUUAUUAUUUCACAUGUGUUAAUCCCAUCCUCCCAAUUAGGUGCUCCCUGGAGGGAAACAAACAUGCUGUCUGAUGACUGUGCUUCUGACCUAUCCCCUGCAAGGCUCUGCCAAGCUCCGUGGGGACCUCCAAGGAGGAGGCAGGGAGAGGGUGGAGUGGCCUGGGUGGCGCCCAGCCCAGAGCCCCGCCACGGACUGCAGUCAGGCCUAGGACAUGUCCUGCUGCCCUGCACCCCGAGGGGCUGACGCCAAGGCAGGGGCCGCACGGGUCGCAGACUUUGGCUGGCUGGCCAGCCAGUCCUUCCUGUGGCUCAGCUCUUUACAGCUUCCUGGUAAGAACCAGCGCAGCACCACCAUGACUGGUGACCUCCGAUGACCUCCGGCAAGUCACUUCCCCUCUCAGGGCCUCAGUUUCCUCAUCUGUGAAAUCACGAAGUGAGACCCCUCUGCAGCUCUACGUGUUUACACCGGAGGGUGGUUUCUUUCAUCACUGCUUCCUCUUCUAUUUCAGAGAACCGGGGGUGGGGCAGGGGCCCCUCCGAGGAUGGCUGGCCUGCCUGCCUCGCGGUGGUAACAACUGCUCUAAGAUGGUAUAAGAGUGUUUCUAACCUCCACGGCCUUACUUGUCUCAUCACUGGCCAUUUGCUUUCUCUGCUCGUCUGCAAGUCACCAUGUUGGCCAAGCUCAAGGCCCAAAGCCAUGGUAUACUCCUGAAGUCAUCAGCUGGGAGCUGGGUACUGACUCGCCUUCGGAGCCGUCCAUCCCCACCUCCACACUGCUUCCUCGCUCUCAUACAUGGGCCUCCCUGCACAAGAACACUCUGAAAAGGGGGUCCUCAGCUUCCUGGCCAAUCGCAUGUGCUCUGAGAGCACAGAGUUAGAGCCGGCAGAGUCACUAGGCCAUGGGGCGCGGGGUAGUGGCUUUAAGAGACCAGCUCGUGUGUUAAUUUGCAGGCCCUUUCCUGGGCUGUGCAGGCCGUGGGGGCCCUCUCCCACUAUGUGCCUGCUCCAGCUCACUGGAGCUCCUACAAGUUCACGGCGUUCGGCACCGUAAGUGGCUGUGAUAAUUCAGAGGCAGAGAGCGCACGUGGGAGCCAGCGCGCAGCGCCCAGCACACAUGCGCAACCCUGCGUACUACAAGUGGGGACUAGCGGCGGCCUCCGGGACACCAGUGCCCCCUGUCCCACGGGAAGAAGGGCAGUCCCUGUGGGCGUCUUCUAACUGGAGACCCCACCUAUGCCCUCAGCUUUGCCAGCCGGGUGGUGCUGGGUGCUGGGGCCUCUUCCCCAGCCCACACAGGUCCUCUUGUUGCUGUGCUGCCCUCCUGGCUAACCCCACCCCACAUCACUGCUUAGGGACUACUUUGUGAUACUGAAACGUGUCUUAGGUGAUUAUUAAGUAACUCUGAGUCUUCUCAA